rnacentral:rRNA from 1 species
GACGAACGCUGGCGGCGUGCCUAAUACAUGCAAGUAGAACGCUGAAGAGAGGAGCUUGCUCUUCUUGGAUGAGUUGCGAACGGGUGAGUAACGCGUAGGUAACCUGCCUUGUAGCGGGGGAUAACUAUUGGAAACGAUAGCUAAUACCGCAUAACAAUGGAUGACACAUGUCAUUUAUUUGAAAGGGGCAAUUGUUCCACUACAAGAUGGACCUGCGUUGUAUUAGCUAGUAGGUGAGGUAAUGGCUCACCUAGGCGACGAUACAUAGCCGACCUGAGAGGGUGAUCGGCCACACUGGGACUGAGACACGGCCCAGACUCCUACGGGAGGCAGCAGUAGGGAAUCUUCGGCAAUGGGGGCAACCCUGACCGAGCAACGCCGCGUGAGUGAAGAAGGUUUUCGGAUCGUAAAGCUCUGUUGUAAGUCAAGAACGGGUGUGAGAGUGGAAAGUUCACACUGUGACGGUAGCUUACCAGAAAGGGACGGCUAACUACGUGCCAGCAGCCGCGGUAAUACGUAGGUCCCGAGCGUUGUCCGGAUUUAUUGGGCGUAAAGCGAGCGCAGGCGGUUUGAUAAGUCUGAAGUUAAAGGCUGUGGCUCAACCAUAGUUCGCUUUGGAAACUGUCAAACUUGAGUGCAGAAGGGGAGAGUGGAAUUCCAUGUGUAGCGGUGAAAUGCGUAGAUAUAUGGAGGAACACCGGUGGCGAAAGCGGCUCUCUGGUCUGUAACUGACGCUGAGGCUCGAAAGCGUGGGGAGCGAACAGGAUUAGAUACCCUGGUAGUCCACGCCGUAAACGAUGAGUGCUAGGUGUUGGAUCCUUUCCGGGAUUCAGUGCCGCAGGCUAACGCAUUAAAGCACUCCGCCUGGGGGAGUACGACCGCAAGGUUGAAACUCAAAGGAAUUGACGGGGGCCCGCACAAGCGGUGGAGCAUGUGGUUUAAUUCGAAGCAACGCGAAGAACCUUACCAGGUCUUGACAUCCCGAUGCUAUUUCUAGAGAUAGAAAGUUACUUCGGUACAUCGGUGGCAGGUGGUGCAUGGUUGUCGUCAGCUCGAGUCGUGAGAUGUUGGGUUAAGUCCCGCAACGAGCGCAACCCCUAUUGUUAGUUGCCAUCAUUCAGUUGGGCACUCUAGCGAGACUGCCGGUAAUAAACCGGAGGAAGGUGGGGAUGACGUCAAAUCAUCAUGCCCCUUAUGACCUGGGCUACACACGUGCUACAAUGGUUGGUACAACGAGUUGCGAGUCGGUGACGGCGAGCUAAUCUCUUAAAGCCAAUCUCAGUUCGGAUUGUAGGCUGCAACUCGCCUACAUGAAGUCGGAAUCGCUAGUAAUCGCGGAUCAGCACGCCGCGGUGAAUACGUUCCCGGGCCUUGUACACACCGCCCGUCACACCACGAGAGUUUGUAACACCCGAAGUCGGUGAGGUAACCUUUUGGAGCCAGCCGCCUAAGGUGGG